UGGUCCAUUCUAAUUCCUGCUGGUCAACCUAUGGCCUGCCAGGUUUCGCUUGUGGACCACAGCACUCUAGAAGCUUGACCUGGAAUGAGCAAAGUCUUUUGUGGGCUUACGCUAGAGGUGCUUCUGGACACUC
ensembl:snoRNA